AGGUAAUAGUUCUUCAAAUAUGAUAGUGGCUAAGAUGUUGGAGCCUCCAAAAGUAGCUAGCUAUGCUUGUAAUCUUGCUUGCAACUAGAAGGAUUCUUGUGAUAGGGACUAGGAGGAGGUUAGUCCCAUGGAGAAUAGAAUGGCAUGUGGUUGUAGCUAGAAGAAUGCUUGUGACAUAUGGAUGGUACCGUAUCUAGUAGUCCCAUGCAUGUGUAGUUCAAUGUCUGUCCAUUGUCGAUCAACUACUUGGCUUGAGUGAGCCUAGUCAUCCGACUUGGGUAGACAGAUGCUAGGAGGAAGCGUUGUUGUUGUCAACUUAGUCAGCUACCCUAGACCAAUAGGUGAGGUAAGUAGAGAUGAAGAUGCAAGUAAAAAGCACCCCUUAAGUCUAGACCUAUCCAUGAGGCAAGGCAAGGUGACUCCAAAGAUGGCCUGCUAUAGUAGGACUUCAAGAAUGGGUAAGACAAAUUUUCGAGUAACUGCAUAAGUUGUUGGUCAGCGCUUGAUCUUGUUCAAUGUCUUGUUUAUUGCAGGUCAUGGGGCAUCUAAAAAGCUCCAAGAGAGGAAGAAAACCAUCUCAGCAAAAUAGUAAGUGUAUUUGCCCAAAGCUUAUGUGACUAUGCUACUGUCGAGUUUUUAAUGGUAGCUGCCAUGUAGGAUGCUAAUGCCAGGACAACAUAGUUCAUUAACAUCCAAUGGACUGGUGGUGCAUCUGGGGUAGGUUCUAGAGCUAAUGUGUUUACGGAUGAUGCCUCCUUUAUGACGCUGGUGAUGGGUGCUACCUUCACCUAGACAUCUAGUAUGAAAAGGUUGACUCUAAGUUUCAUGAAGAAAGUGUCCUUUCAAUAAGUUGAUUGUGCCUUUUGAUGUUAUUUGUGGUUAAUCAUGCCCAAAACUGAGUCAAGUGCUUAUCUCUGAUAGAACUGUGCAAGAGCCGCUAUAGGCACCAUCUCCACUGCCCCUAGAGGAGCCGUGUCUCUACACCAGCGUAGGUGGCAAGCCUAGCAUCACAGCCAC
rnacentral:lncRNA from 1 species